rnacentral:rRNA from 1 species
AACGAACGCUGGCGGCAUGCCUAACACAUGCAAGUCGAACGAGACCUUCGGGUCUAGUGGCGCACGGGUGCGUAACGCGUGGGAACCUGCCCUUAGGUUCGGAAUAACUCCCCGAAAGGGGUGCUAAUACCGGAUAAUGUCUUCAGACCAAAGAUUUAUCGCCUUUGGAUGGGCCCGCGUUGGAUUAGCUAGUUGGUAGGGUAAAAGCCUACCAAGGCGACGAUCCAUAGCUGGUCUGAGAGGAUGCUCAGCCACACUGGGACUGAGACACGGCCCAGACUUCUACGGGAGGCAGCAGUGGGGAAUAUUGGACAAUGGGAGACAGCCUGAUCCAGCAAUGCCGCGUGAGUGAUGAAGGCCUUAGGGUUGUAAAGCUCUUUUACCCGGGAUGAUAAUGACAGUACCGGGAGAAUAAGCUCCGGCUAACUCCGUG